AGCAAAAUGAUGAGAUUCUUUAGUCUGAAUUAACAUGUGGAAUCCCAUAUCGUAUUGGUCUUCAAAGUUCUCUGAUUGCU